rnacentral:rRNA from 1 species
CCUGGUUGAUCCUGCUAGUAGUCGUAUGCUUGUCUCAAAGAUUAAGCCAUGCAUAUGUAAGUAUGAACAAAUUCAGAGUGUGAAACUGUGAAUGGCUAUUUAAUUCAGUUAUAGUUUGUUUGAUGGUAUCUACUACUCGGAUAACCGUAGUAAUACUAGAGAUAAUAUGUGCACCAAACCCCUACUUGUAGAAGGGAUACAUUUAUUAGAUAAAAGGUCGACGCAGGCUCUACCCGUUGUUGUGAUAAUUUAUGAUAACUCGACGGAUCGCACGACUAUCGUGCCGGCGAUGCAUCAUUCAAAUUUCUAUCCUAUCAAGUUUCUAUGGUAGGAUAGUGGCCUACCAUGGUGGUGAUGGGUGACAAAGAAUUAGGGUUCAAUUUUAGAGAGAGAGCCUAAGAAACGGCUACCACAUCCAAGGAAGGCAGCAGGCGCACAAAUUACCCAAUCUUGACACGGGGAGUUAGUGAAAAUAAAUAACAAUACCGGGCUCAAUGAGUUUGGUAAUUGGAAAGAGUACAAUCAAAAUCCCUUAACGAGGAUCCAUUGGAGGGAGAGUCUGGUGCCAGCAGCCGCGGUAAUUCCAGCACCAAUAGCGUAUAUUUAAGUUGUUGCAGUUAAAAAUCUCAAAGUUGGACUUUGGGAUUAGCCGGCCGGUCCGUCUAUGGUGUGCAUUGUUCAUCUCGUCCCUUCUAUCGGCGAUGCACUCUUAGAGAUAACUGGCUGGGUCGUGCCUUCGACGCUAUUACUUUGAAGAAAUUAGAGUGCUUAAAGAAAGGCUAUGCUCUUUAUACAUUAGCAUGGGAUAACAAUAUCGGAAUUUGGUCCAAUUAUAUUGUCCUUCGGGAUCGGAGUAAUGAUUAACAGGGACAGUCGAGGGCAUUCGUAUUUCAUAGUCAGAGGUGAAAUUGUUGGAUUUAUGAAAUACGAUCAACUGUGAAAGCAUUUUCCAAGGAUGUUUUCAUUAAUCAAGAACGAAAGUUGGGGGCUUGAAGGCGGUCAGAUAUCGUCCUAGUCUCAACCAUAAAUAAUGCCGACCAAGGAUCGACGGAUGUUGCUUUUAGGACUACGCCGGCACCUUAUGAGAAAUCAAACUUUUUGGGUUGCGGGUGGAGUAUGGUCGCAAGAUUGAAACUUAAAGGAACUGAUGGAAUUCAUCCAAAGAGCGUAAAACUACGUUCGAUCAUCCUAAUAUUUUCCUGAUGUUUAUCCAUCUUCCUCACCGUUGCAUGCUCAUUGUUUUACAUAUCCGCUCUAAUUAUUUAUUUUAAAUAUAUUUCAAUGUUACCUCAUAUGUUGUGACAGCUUUCUGAAUGUCCCGUCGCCUAUUUUUACAAAUAUUAUUUCAUAUCCUUAAAUUUAAAUAUUUUAUAUCGUUACGUUAUUCGUGCAGAUAUGCAUUCAAUUGUUGGAUUAAGGUUAUUUCAUUCUAAUAUUUAUAUUUUGGGGUUGUUACUUAUCUGUUUGAUUCUGGCCGAUUUUUCUAAUGUCCCCACGUUAUUUUUAUAUUGUUUUCAAUCUUUUAUUUAAUAUCCUUAAAUUUAAAUAUUUUAUACCGUUAUGUUAUAUGUACAAAUAUGCACUCGAUUGUUGGUUUAAGGUUAGUUCAUGCGCUGGGAAUAUUUUCCUAAUGUUUUUAUAUUUUUUUAAAUAUUUUUAUAUU